UUUCCGUAGGUGAACCUGCGGAAGGAUCAUUAUGAAUUUGAACUUGUGUUGUGGCUGUUUCAACUUGAUUGUUGUGAACGCUCGCGCAAUUCUUUUUCUGUGAACUGUUCUCGAGUCUUUUUCCCAAUUUAUUUUGGGAAAAAAGCUUGGGUCAUUUUUGUUUUCUUGUAUUAUUCCAAUUAUUUUUGAGUAGUUUUUUUGCAAAAAAAAACGAAAAAAAACAAAAACCAAGACAACUUUCAGCAAUGGAUCUCUUGGCUCUU
rnacentral:misc_RNA from 1 species